CUGGCAUUGUCUGCCCAGCUGCUCCAAGCCAGGCUGAUGAAGGAGGUGUCCCCUGUGGUGAGCUGGAGGUUGGAGCCUGAAGAUGGCACAGCUCUGUGAUUCAUCUUCUAUGGUUGUGGCAGCCAUGGUGAUGGAGACGGCAGCUCAACAGGAGUGCCCUGUGAGGAGAAAUAUACCAUCCCCACUGAACAGAUGGGACAACUGAGGCUCAGAGGUGUCAGGUGCCUGCCUGAGGUCACAGGUGGGACUGGGGCUCCUUGGUCUGUCCUCUUUCUACUGCGAGACAAUCUGGUGAAGCCACAGAAGGACCCAUUCCCGCUAAUGAGGCACUAAAGGUAAUGCACGAGGAACUCUCAGGAAUAUGUGGAAAUUCUCCUGGGUUUUCCAGCUCCUGAGAGAGCCCUGGCUUUGUGGGGUGAAGUCCUUUGAUUGCCUCAGGUUCCUGAUCUGUUCGUGACCCUGUUAGCCCAAAAGCUGGCAGAGCUCCAUUCUUUUUAGGUCUUAUUCUCAGACGGUCUUGGGUAAAUGGUGGCUGAUUGCCUUCAGCAUCUAGAACAAAACACUCUAUGGCCCAGAGGAAUUCCAGCUGGAAUCUGUGAUCUUAUUCUCUUGAGGAAUGGACCAUGCAGUAUCCUUCAAGGAAGAAUCAAGAAUGUUUCCACAGAGAAUAUACAUAUUUCAUCUCUUUCUCUGCUGAAUGGAUCCCCACUGAAAGCCAUGAAUUACUCUUAUUAGACCCUGUAGAAUCCCAGUUUAUGGCAGUGACAUUAAAAACUUCUAGUUUAUGACUUGGAUUAGGCAGCCUGUAAAAUGGCUUCCAGUGAUCCCUGCU